rnacentral:rRNA from 1 species
UACGAGGGGGGGCGAGCGUUGUUCGGAAUUAUUGGGCGUAAAGAGCUCGUAGGCGGUCUGUCGCGUCUGCUGUGAAAACUCAGGGCUUAACCCUGAGCUUGCAGUGGGUACGGGCAGACUAGAGUGCGGUAGGGGAGACUGGAAUUCCUGGUGUAGCGGGUGAAAUGCGCAGAUAUCAGGAGGGAGCACCGGUGGGCGAA